rnacentral:rRNA from 1 species
GAUGAACGCUGGCGGCGUGCUUAACACAUGCAAGUCGAACGGAAAGGCUCCUGCUUGCUGGGGUACUCGAGUGGCGAACGCGUGUGUAUCACGUGGGUGAUCUUCCCUGUACUUCGGGAUAAGCCUGUGAAACUGGGUCUAAUACCGGAUAUGACGAUGGUUUGCAUGCCAUUUUGGAAAGUUUUUCGGUGUGGGAUGAGCUCGCGGCCUAUCAGCUUUUUGGUGGGUUAAUGGCCUACAAAGGCGUCGCCGGGUAGCCGGCCUGAGAGGGUGUACGGCCACAUUGGGACUGAGAUACGGCCAAGACUCCUACGGGAGGAAGCAGUGGGGAAUAUUGCAAAAUGGGCGGAAGCAGGAUGCAGCGACGCCGCGUGGGGGAUGACGGCCUUCGGGUUGUAAACUCCUUUCGCUAGGAACGAAGCGCAAGUGACGGUACCUGGAGAAGAAGCACCGGCUAACUACGUG